AUGGUCGACGCCGUCGCAGCGCCGGACACCACAUCGUCCCGCCACACGCAGCGGCCACCUCUUGUCGUGGACGGUGCCUUCACAACGCCGAUCACCACACCAUCAUCACCUCGCGGCAUCGCACCGCAACCGGCCACCAGCGGCAUCGCGCCGCCGCCAGCCAUCACCUCGCGUUGGCGUCCUCCAUCUCACAUGGAGUCCACUGCGUCGCCGCCGUCGCAGCCAUUGCCUCCGCCACCACCACGCCAGCGACCAUAG
rnacentral:rRNA from 1 species